rnacentral:rRNA from 1 species
AAAGGCGCUUUCGGGUGUCGCUGAUGGAUGGACCCGCGGUGCAUUAGCUAGUUGGUGAGGUAACGGCUCACCAAGGCCACGAUGCAUAGCCGACCUGAGAGGGUGAUCGGCCACAUUGGGACUGAGACACGGCCCAAACUCCUACGGGAGGCAGCAGUAGGGAAUCUUCGGCAAUGGACGAAAGUCUGACCGAGCAACGCCGCGUGAGUGAAGAAGGUUUUCGGAUCGUAAAACUCUGUUGUUAGAGAAGAACAAGGAUGAGAGUAACUGUUCAUCCCUUGACGGUAUCUAACCAGAAAGCCACGGCUAACUACGUGCCAGCAGCCGCGGUAAUACGUAGGUGGCAAGCGUUGUCCGGAUUUAUUGGGCGUAAAGCGAGCGCAGGCGGUUUCUUAAGUCUGAUGUGAAAGCCCCCGGCUCAACCGGGGAGGGUCAUUGGAAACUGGGAGACUUGAGUGCAGAAGAGGAGAGUGGAAUUCCAUGUGUAGCGGUGAAAUGCGUAGAUAUAUGGAGGAACACCAGUGGCGAAGGCGGCUCUCUGGUCUGUAACUGACGCUGAGGCUCGAAAGCGUGGGGAGCAAACAGGAUUAGAUACCCUGGUAGUCCACGCCGUAAACGAUGAGUGCUAAGUGUUGGAGGGUUUCCGCCCUUCAGUGCUGCAGCUAACGCAUUAAGCACUCCGCCUGGGGAGUACGACCGCAAGGUUGAAACUCAAAGGAAUUGACGGGGGCCCGCACAAGCGGUGGAGCAUGUGGUUUAAUUCGAAGCAACGCGAAGAACCUUACCAGGUCUUGACAUCCUUUGACCACUCUAGAGAUAGAGCUUCCCCUUCGGGGGCAAAGUGACAGGUGGUGCAUGGUUGUCGUCAGCUCGUGUCGUGAGAUGUUGGGUUAAGUCCCGCAACGAGCGCAACCCUUAUUGUUAGUUGCCAUCAUUCAGUUGGGCACUCUAGCAAGACUGCCGGUGACAAACCGGAGGAAGGUGGGGAUGACGUCAAAUCAUCAUGCCCCUUAUGACCUGGGCUACACACGUGCUACAAUGGGAAGUACAACGAGUUGCGAAGUCGCGAGGCUAAGCUAAUCUCUUAAAGCUUCUC